rnacentral:rRNA from 1 species
AGAGUUUGAUCAUGGCUCAGAAUCAACGCUGGCGGCGUGCCUAACACAUGCAAGUCGAACGCGAAAGUGGAGCAAUCCAUGAGUAGAGUGGCAAACGGGUGAGUAACACGUGGGUGACCUGCCUUCGAGCGGGGGAUAACGUCCCGAAAGGGACGCUAAUACCGCAUGACAUCCUGUCUUUUAACAGAUGGUGAUCAAAGCCGGGGAUCGCAAGACCUGGCACUCGAAGAGGGGCCCGCGCCUGAUUAGCUAGUUGGUGAGGUAACGGCUCACCAAGGCGACGAUCAGUAUCCGGCCUGA